rnacentral:rRNA from 1 species
UACGUAGGGGGCUAGCGUUGUCCGGAAUCAUUGGGCGUAAAGCGCGCGUAGGCGGUCAGGUAAGUCCGGUGUGAAAGUCAAAGGCUCAACCUUUGAAUGCCGCUGGAUACUGCCUGACUUGAGUCCGGAAGGGGCUACUGGAAUUCUCGGUGUAGCGGUGAAAUGCGUAGAUAUCGGGAGGAACACCAGUGGCGAAGGCGAUCACCUGGGGAUGUUCUGACGCUGAGGAGCGAAAGCUAGGGGAGCAAACGGG